UACGUAGGGGGCGAGCGUUGUCCGAAGUUACUGGGCGUAAAGCGCGCGUAGGCGGUUUCUUAAGUCUGGGGUGAAAGGUUCAGCGCUCAACGCGAACAGUGCCUUGGAUACUGGGAGACUUGAGUCUGGGAGGGGGCAGUGGAAUUCCUGGUGUAGCGGUGAAAUGCGUAGAUAUCAGGAGGAACACCGGUGGCGAAGGCGGCUGCCUGGCCUAAGACUGACGCUGAUGUGCGAAAGCGUGGGGAGCAAACGGG
rnacentral:rRNA from 1 species